rfam:Ixodes scapularis strain Wikel colony gcontig_1108379860422, whole genome shotgun sequence.
GUUUGCUGGCCAAACUGGGCGAGACCUCGCCUUUGCCACUUUCAUUCAGCAGCUGUUCUCAAUCUCCUCGUGAAACGAACUUUUUUUCUCGUCGAUAUCUGAAUAUUUACAUUCCAGAUCGUUCGAGGGGUCAUUCAAAGAAAUGUCAUCGUCUCCUUCGGAAGUAACUUCAGAGCCUCGUUGACUUUGGACUUCAAUCAAGCUUUCGGUUGCCUCACCUUCUGCCGCUACCGGAGGAGCGCAAACGUCUUCAUCGGUGCUGGAGUCCACAGGAUCUUCAUUAAAGCACCUUUCUGGUUUCCUCUGAGCGUUUUGCGCGAUUCUCCUUCUGUUCUGGCGAUCGGACAACUCUGACACCAAACGCUCCAUUCUCUACAAUAAGAGGUAACAAAAUACCACGUACCUUGCUUUGCGUUAUUUCCAUGGCGAACGGCGAUUGAGCGAUAGGACGAUGGUGCAGAUAGCGGUUUCGAAAGCCUCGGCCUUGCGGGGGAACACUGCCGGCUACGCAAACAAAAGAAAAGUACUACUUCUGGCUAUGGCUAGAGACGAAAGGCCUAGAGACCGAUAGAGUCCAGAAAGGCUCCGUAGACUUUCGAUCAUUUUAUUAAUGAACAAAAUACACAUUUCUAUUGUAUAUAGUAUCAAAUAACAAGUACAAUUUUCAAGUGUAAAAUUGUUUUUAAUCACUCUAGCACUUUAGGCGAUAAUGAAGUUUGGUUGUAGUUUGGUUGUGUCGGUGAACAUUGGUCGACUUCGCUAGGUUGCGCAAGCUACAGCCCGUUACAAAGGGUAUAGCUCUUAACAUUUAUCCAUUCAUCCAGGCAACGUACACAAAAUGGGGUCUGUGUUUUUCCCGUUAUCCAAGCAUUUUUUUCGAUAACACCGAUUGAGAGCAGACGAAGUAAUCCGCGUACAACCUUUUCAUCCUCAGAAGGUUAAAACCUUCUGUUUACGAGUGCUCCAUCUGCGCAUGCUCUUUGAUAGGCGCUUCAGAUGUGUGGGUAAUGAAUUCAUAUCGCGGGUGACAAAACCGUGCAGAACGAAAAAUCUGCGAGCGCUCUACACGGCCCUUGUACUUCCCGUACAUCCCAUUCUAGACUUGAGUAUUGCUCGGCGACCUGGUCCCCGUCCCAGCAGCAUCUCCGGGAACGGCUCGAAAGUGUGCAGCACCGUGCGACACGGAUCAUCUGUGGCACGGCGGACGGCUUGUAUGGUGCACGUCUGGGUGCCCUUGGACGGAGAAUUCCUCCCCCCCCCCCCCCCCAGCGAGAGGGGACGGGCCUCACGGAUGCGCGCACUGUGCCGGAUGCUCGAUGGACCGCUUUCCGGGAUCUCGUUGUACUCCGCAGUGCGAACAAGCAAAAGAACUGGGCAGCCUGAGCCUUUUCGUGGGAGGACCACCCGCCAGAGCAAAUCCCUGCUCCCGGCGAAGGUGGUUCCCUGCACCUUGCACCCCUCUUAGAAAGACAAGUGGCUCCUAGCCGCACGAAACCAGCAAUAACAGGUAUGUGGUACCCUUAUAUGUCCGGGGCCGCACGCGCGUUGCAGUGAAGGAAGCGGCGUGUUUUUAUCCCUGUCUGUAAGGACUGGGUAACCCGUCGAAUCUCCUUCGCGAUUGGGAUAGGGGCUUGCAAUUGUUCCCCUUGAACGAGGAAUUCCCAGUAAGCGCGAGUCGCAAGCUCGCGUUGAUUACGUCCCUACCCUUUGCACACACCGCCCGUCGCUACUACCGAUUGAAUGAUUUAGUAAGGUCUUCGGACCGAUACCCUGAGCGGCCUUUCAGUUGCGCCGCUGUGUUGGAAAGAACCGAACUUUAUCAUUUAGAGGAAGUGAAAAUCGUAACAUGGUUAUAAAAGACCAAGA